UCGAACUCUCCCCGUGUAUCUGCUCGUCUCUUCCUCCGCCUAUGCCUCGACGAGAGCCCUUUUGCUUCAUGGCUCAGCUUUGCAGUAGUCGUCGUCGUCGUCGUUGUUCCCAGGGCUCUUUGUUACCCUUUCCGCCCACUAUGCCAUUCACGACGGGGGGAAUCAAUUUUAUCCAUCUUCUUUGCACUCUUCUCGAUGGAGUAGUUGUUGUCAUUCUUCUAUAGUGUUGCUGCACCAGUAUAUGCCAACAAAUCAGCGAAAAUAGAAAAUGGAUGCGACUCGCACUGCGCUCUCGCAGCGCGGCCACAUCCUUUAGCACUUUCGAGGCAGGCUUAAUCGCCGUGCAGCAGCAGUACUUUCCUCAUCAGAAUCUCGCACAAAUUAGAUGUUAUUUUUAAACCACGAAGACGACGACGGAGCAGGCGAAAAAAUUGUAACAAGAUAAAAAUGAAUUCAAUUCAGUGUUUUAAUAUAAAAAUAACACUCAUACAAGCGAGCUUGAGCUA